AUAUACUAUAUAUAUAUAUAAAAAAAAAAGGAAUGAUACAGAGAAGAUUAGUGUGGCCCCUGUGCAAGGGUGACACACCAAUUCAUGAAAUAUUCCAUAAAAUC
rnacentral:snRNA from 1 species